AUGAAGCUGGAAUCGCUAGUAAUCGCGGAUCAGAAUGCCGCGGUGAAUACGUUCCCGGGCCUUGUACACACCGCCCGUCACACCAUGAGAGUUGGAAAUACCCGAAGCCUGUGAGCUAACUGUAAAGAGGCAGCAGUCGAAGGUAGAGCCAAUGAUUGGGGUGAAGUCGUAACAAGGUAUC
rnacentral:rRNA from 1 species